rnacentral:rRNA from 1 species
CCUACCGAUUGAAUGUUCCGGUGAAUUAUUCGGACUGUGGUAUAGUACUUGUAUUAUACUAUGGGAAGUCUUGUGAACCUUAACAUUUAGAGGAAGGAAAAGUCGUAACAAGGUU